rnacentral:lncRNA from 1 species
AAUGUCGAACAUGGCUUUAAUCUGCUCCGCGGCUUGUUUUGUUUUGUUUUUCUCUGUUUCAUUUCCCUUUGCUGKGUUAAGCUCUGACCCUGAAAGGCCAAAGUCUGUUUGGGGCCUGUUCUGUGCCUCACGCUCACAGAACUCACUGGAACUACACGUGCAUGUUCAGARGCUUGAAUAUCAACCCAGACUUGGUCCUGCUGCCACCCCUGGGUGUCUGAUCUCACUGGAGAUGACUGAACCGCUUAUUCAUGUAAAGGAUACAGAGCUGUGCGUGAGAUUCAUUUGUCUGACCGCAGCCAUCUAAAACGCUGUCUUCUCCAAGCUGGAUGUCCGGCCUCCCGCUAGAGAGGGCAUCUUCAGAGGGUGCUUCUUCCUGUCUGUCUUAGAAACCUGGCCUGGGCUGCCGUGAGUUGUCUUCUGAAAGCGUCCGUUUCUCCUGACUGCGGGGAAAGCCUCUCUGCUACUCUCUGGGGCCUCCCUUUCAGACAGGCAAAGGUAGAUGAGCAAAAGCCCACCCUUUAUUUAGAAAAAAAUUACCUUGUCAGCCGGACUUGUACAUGUAUUGGUGGAAUCAGGUGCAGAAAGAAACUUUCAGAGCUCUUUGCGUGAUCUAAAAAUGAUUCUUUCUUCUUUUGGUGAUGACCACAGUAUUUCUGGAAACUUCAGUAAAGGUUUUAAUCAAAGGACAGAUUCUUCCCCUUUUCCUAAAGUUCAGUGAUACCUUAUUCCCUGAGAAUUGCCGCCCAAGAAGAUUCCUGGUUUCUGCGAGUAAGCAUGGAUCUGGCAGACAUACGCGUGGGACAGUCUUGUCCUCAGUGCACUGUGCUCUGGCAUUUGUGCUCAUAAACAUUCUUGUCUUAAUUUUUGUUCAAAGAUGCCUUGGACAUUUUGGGCAUAGCAGCUGCCUGAAAUGAAGCAUUUCCUUCUGAUCUAGUUUGCCUGUAACAAUCUUGAACUUGUUGACCUGUGUGCCUAUUAAUUAUUGAUAUAAUGUUGCAUUAUUUAGGAUUGUUUCAGCAGACGGCUACAUUAUUACCAGACAGACAUUUGCCAGACAGGCUGAUAGAUAACAUCCUAAAAAAAUCUCAAGUUGCAUUUGUAUGAUAAAGGACCGUAACUUCAUUACUUUUCCCCCCCUCUAGCUGGCAAAUUAGUGAUAUGCUACCUUGAAACCUUAAUGUAAAAUCUAAAUAUAAUAAUGAUCUCUUUAGGCAACGGGCUUAAUCUUGACUUUGUUGGAACCGUGGUUCUGAUAUUGGUCAGGCCUCAAAAAUGCAGAGGAAGUCUUAACCAAUCUUCUGAAG